rnacentral:rRNA from 1 species
GACGAACGCUGGCGGCGGGCCUAACACAUGCAAGUCGAACGGAAAGGCCCUGCUUCUUUGGGGUUCUCGAGUGGCGAACGGAUGAGUAACACGUGUGUAACCUGCCCUUUGCUGGGGGAUAACUUCUGGUAACUGGGGCUAAUACCGGAGAGGAGCUCCGGCUGCAUGGUGGGGGUGGGAAUGUUUCGGCGGGCGGUGCUGGGCUCCCGGCUUAUCAGCUCGUUGGUGGGGUAGUGGCUUACCAAGGCUUUGACGGGCAUCCGGCCUGAGAGGGUGAACGGCCACAUUGGGACUGAGAGACGGACCAGACUCCUACGGGAGGCAGCAGUGGGGAAUAUUGCACAGUGAGCGGACGUGUGAGGAAGCAGCGCCGCGUGCGGAAUGACGGCCUUCGGGUUAUGAACCGCUUUCGGCUGUGACGAAGCGUGAGUGACGGUAAUGGGUAAAGAAGCACCGGCUAACUACGUG